UCAAAGGCUACUUCUAACCAAGUUACUGCUCUUGAUAGAGCAAGUUCUUUCAAACCUUGUAAUCCAUUCUUCAUGGUUGUCAUGCGUCGAUCAUACCUCCAUUGUAAGGGUUCUUAUCUGGGUUUACCAUGUGAGUUUUGUAGGAGCUACAUUGAUUUGCACGAUCAGCAGAGACAUAUCAACCUUCAAGAGUUAAAUGGGAGAGUUUGGCCUUCAAGGUAUCUAAUCACGAAAAACAAUAGAAAUACAAAACCAAGAUAUAGACUCAAAAGUGGAUGGAAGGCAUUCGUCAAGCACAAUAAUUUGAAAGUUGGUGAUGUUUGCACCUUUGAGCUCAUUUGUAGAACUAAACUAACCUUACUGGUUCACAUCUUUAGAGAGACAGACAGUUCAAAUUGUUCAACACCUCAAG